AUCUUGAAAAGCAGCCUGAAGCAGGAAUACUAACUUCCGGGAAUUCAGCCAUUAAGAAAGACAGUAAGGAGUAAUAAACGUUACCUACCGAUCUACUAUGCAGGGUAAUGUCAAAAUCAGAGCCCCCUAGCGCUGCCAGAAGGGGCUGUGGAACUGAAGAAUUUUCCAAAGCACUGAGAAGCCAUGUUACUUAUCUAAGUCACAGACAAUUAAAUGGACCGAUGGACUUUCAAUCAGAAGCUGAUGAUGCAACGAAGAAGGGCCAAUGGAAGAGGCAUUCUGGUGAGGCCAGCAGCAGUAGCAACAAUGUCUGAUAUCCAGGGACCAUGAUGGCAGCAGUGGUACACUCGGUAGUGUCCUCUGUUCAGCGGGGAUGCCAGCAGCAUCCUCACUAGACUCUUCUCAGGUACGAUUUUGGGCAUAGUCUGGGCUGCCAUCCUGCUUUCCUUGUUCCAACUCAUGUUCCAAGCCUGGGUCUUCCUGGUGAUUAUGUGAGCUCCCCGGUAUCCUGUCAAUAAAUUCCUUUUCUGAAAUCAA
ensembl:lncRNA novel transcript